rnacentral:misc_RNA from 1 species
AAAGUGCGAGAACUGAGGUGAUCUGCAUUUAGCGCGAAUCCUUAGAAAUUUGAACACAUAAUGUGGCCUUCGGGUAAAACCGACUGGCUGUAUUUGGUUGAGCGUCUUAUAUCAACAAAGUCGGGUCGAAAGAUCGGUGACACAGUGGAAGGCAACUUUGAUUAGUUUACCUUCUUAAAUACUUUUAGUCAAGUUUUAGGACCUUGUGACCUACUUCUACUCAAAGAUGUUAAACUCCAGAAUAAAUUUAUUUAUAAUGGACUUAUAGACAGGGCUGAGUAAGUAACGAUCGAACCUAAAACUUGAUGAAUUUUUUUUUACAACAAACUAAAAGACCUCAGCUCAAGUACGACUACCCGCUGAAUUUAA